CUCAAGGUUUGCUGAGGAAAAGUGAACAAGUGGAAAUGAAGUCUAUUGUCAAUGUGACCAGAGUUGUCCUCAGAGAGUAGGACAGAUAAAAUUAAAAUCAAACCUCUCUUACAAAGAAGAGGAGCCCAGAAGGCUGGAAAUUCCAGAUGAAAAAAAAGAAGGCACCAGAUACUUGGAAUGGGACAGAGCUGCCUGGGAGAGAAGUAAAAGGGUGAGGAGGCCCAAGAGACCAGACUGCAGGGAACCUUGGGAGAAAACCAUCAGGAAUGCCUCAUUUACUUUCAAGAGAAAUCCAGGCUUCUUGGAGAAGCUUCUAGUCCUGUCUGCAUUUACUAUCAUUGGACUUCCAUGGCACCCCGGUGACAGUGCUGCAAUUAAGGCCAUCAGUGUGCUUUUGUGACAUCAACAAACCAAUCAGGACUUCUCAGUACACUCACUUCUCAAUCCUACUGGUUUUUGAGUCUUCAUUUUUUUUUAAAUCACUUGUAAAAUUUAAUUUUAAAGGCUUAUUCUAUCAUUUCAUAUUUUAUUUAUA